rnacentral:rRNA from 1 species
GUAGUCAUAUGCUUGUCUCAAAGAUUAAGCCAUGCAUGUCUAAGUAUAAGCAAUCAUACUGUGAAACUGCGAAUGGCUCAUUAAAUCAGUUAUCGUUUAUUUGAUAGUACCUUUACCUGGAUAACCGUGGUAAUUCUAGAGCUAAUACAUGCUAAAAAUCCCGACUUCGGAAGGGAUGUAUUUAUUAGAUAAAAAACCAAUGCCCUUCGGGGCUCCUUGGUGAUUCAUAAUAACUUAACGAAUCGCAUGGCCUUGCGCCGGCGAUGGUUCAUUCAAAUUUCUGCCCUAUCAACUUUCGAUGGUAGGAUAGUGGCCUACCAUGGUCUCAACGGGUAACGGGGAAUUAGGGUUUUAUUCCGGAGAGGGAGCCUGAGAAACGGCUACCACAUCCAAGGAAGGCAGCAGGCGCGCAAAUUACCCAAUCCCAAUUCGGGGAGGUAGUGACAAUAAAUACUGAUACAGGGCUCUUUUGGGUCUUGUAAUUGGAAUGAGUACAAUCUAAAUCCCUUAACGAGGAACAAUUGGAGGGCAAGUCUGGUGCCAGCAGCCGCGGUAAUUCCAGCUCCAAUAGCGUAUAUUAAAGUUGUUGCCGUUAAAAAGCUCGUAGUUGAACCUUGGGCCUGGCUGAUCUGUCCUCCUAAUCGAGCGCACGGAUUCGGUCGGGCCUUUCCUUCUGGGGAGCCCGAUGUCCUUCACUGGGCGUCGCGGGGAACCAGGACUUUUACCUUGAAAAAAUUAGAGUGUUCAAAGCAGGCCUUUGCUCGAAUACAUUAGCAUGGAAUAAUAAAAUAGGACAUCGGUUCUAUUUUGUUGGUUUCUAGGACCGCUGUAAUGAUUAAUAGGGA